UUAUUAUUCAUCUCUUUCACAUAUACUAUAUUUUUUUUGACUAUUUAUUACACUAUUACCCCGUUCUCGUUUCUAUUAUUUUUUUUUUUAAUUCACGAUAAAUUAGAGGUGUUCGAAGGUUAGGCUGGGUCGGGCUGGGCUAAGGCCAAAAAUCCAACCCAGUUGGCUGUGUAGGGUCAGACCAAAGGUCGGGCAAAAAAUUUUGCCCAAAACCUUCAAAAUUAAAUUGGGUUAAGCGGGCUUUUUGGAUUUUUUUUCAGGCCGGUCUAUAAAAUUAACUAAAAAGCUUAGAAAUUCAUGCUCAAAGGCCGCGAAAAGUUUAAGAAAAAAUCAAGUCAGGCAGGGCCUGACUCGACUUCGUUGAUAAUUUCUUCCCAUAACCAGCACAAAAUCGGGCCAGGCCGGACUUAACUUGAUCAACUUUACGAUAAAUCCCACUUACGCAACUACUCUAGAUACAAUUUGUUAGAACUAUGUGUCAAUCAAAUCAACGCACUUGUUUUAAAUCGGGAAGAGCCCUUUGAAACAGAAAAAAUAGUUGUAUUAAAAGGUGUAAUAAGGAUAUUACUUAAAAGAACACCCUUCUGGCCUUCUCCCUAAAUUAGGAAAAAAGAAAGUCCUAAUAACAGAGUGAGCUACAAAGCUACAGCAUACCUUCGAUAACAUACCCUCGAUUCUACUCUUCAAAUGAAAAGUAGUCACCAUAUAUUAAAGAAUAAAGUAACUUAUCAAUAAUACAAGUUGGUAUUUCGGUUACUUAUACUAUGACGCAAAGUAUUAAACACCAAAUUAUUUUAUACCAACAAAAAAAAAACAUCAGUCAACCUUAACAAACCCAAUAAUAAAAAAUAAAUAAGAAAUUUAACAGAAAAUAAAAAAUAUAAUAAUAAGGUCGAAAAGUCCAAUAUAGAAAUUAAAUUAGUGAAUGAUUCUCACAUUCCCACUACCACCUUCUCAAAACAUUCAUUUUUUUUGAACUUAUAAAUACUUAAUUAUCAACCCAUCCUCUAAUAAACAUCCCCUGUUUCUUUCUCUCUCUGUUUCCAACAUUUUUGUCUCUCUGUUUUUUCCCACAUUUAUAUUUAAUCACCCCUUUUUAACAAAAAAUAGGUAACCCUCUAAACCCAACGAAUAUAACAUUGCCAUUUUCAUCAAGGUUUUUCAAUACAUGCAACAUUUAUAUAUCGGGAUUAGAUUUUGAUAUCCCAAGCCUAAGUGAACGGUACAAUUCAGGAACUUACAAAGUUAAGAGAAGAAGAAGAUGAAUUAUUUGAGUUUAGCUUUAAUUAUUACAAUAAUGGCAAUGGAGUUGUUCUUGGUCUCUCAUUGUUAUGCCAGAAGAACCCAUGGAAAACACGUAAAUGAUGACCAUACAUCUCCUGAAGUCUCCUUGAUCGUCAAGGACAAAGAGGCAAGUCUUCUCAUUAUUUUUGUUGUGCAUUUUUAAUUUAGAGGCGUAAAUUCAAAUGUCCAGGUCGGGUUUGGGUUUGGGUUCGGAUUUGGUGAGGCUGAGUCGGGUUGGGUCUGAUUUCAAAAUUGAGUCAUGUUAAAUUAUUAUGUCCGUAUGAGUUGAAAUCUGAAUCGAAUAUUUUUUGGAUCGGGUCAAGUUUUGACACUUCUACUUUUAAUUUAUAUCAUUUUAUUUUAUGCUAUGCUUAAUUGCCUACAAGCACCAAGUAGUAUUGAUCUAGUAAUAAGGAGUGUACUCGUACUAUCUUACAACUAUAAAUAUGUAGGAUCAAUCCUCACUAGGGUUAGCUUGGGGGGUAGAUGGAGAUUUUUUUUACCCUUUCCUUCACUUCUAAGAAGUUUUGCCCACUAAUCUAGAUCGGGUUGUCAUGUGAGAGCGAGAGCGAGGUUUUGAUCCUAUAGAUUGCACUUUAUACCUACUAAAAAAAAUGGUCUACAAACACGCAAUUCCUAUCUUUCUUAAUAAAUGUAUCAUUUUAACUUUUACAUUAUUUACAUAAUAACUUUGACUAUACAUCAUUACGGAAUAAUACACGGUAAUUGCAAUCGCAUAAAAGGUUACACUUUCUUUGUUAUAGAUUGCACUUUAUACCUGCUAAAAAAUGAUAUGCAAACAACAUGCAAUCCUCCGUGUUUUUUUUUGUAAGUGUUAUACCUAAUUUUUUGGCAUGCAAAAAACUACAUUUUCAUAUUAUAUAUCUUCUCUAUAGUCAUUACCCAAAAUCAUUUUUUUUAAUAUUAUAUAUUUCCUCUCUCAUUCAUUAAUUUAUAAUAAA